rnacentral:pre_miRNA from 1 species
ACAUACUUCUUUAUAUAUCCAUAUGAAAGUGCCAGUGCUAUGGAAUGUAAAGAAGUAUGUAU